rnacentral:rRNA from 1 species
UACGUAGGGUGCGAGCGUUAAUCGGAAUUACUGGGCGUAAAGCGUGCGCAGGCGGUUUUGUAAGACAGAUGUGAAAUCCCCGGGCUUAACCUGGGAACUGCGUUUGUGACUGCAAGACUCGAGUACGGCAGAGGGGGGUGGAAUUCCACGUGUAGCAGUGAAAUGCGUAGAGAUGUGGAGGAACACCGAUGGCGAAGGCAGCCCCCUGGGCUAACACUGACGCUCAUGCACGAAAGCGUGGGGAGCAAACAGG